AACCUGGUAGCACAGUUGGUUAGUGCAUCUGCUAGUAGUACCUUCUCUUUUGAUUUUGAUUUUGUAAGCAGAAGAACCUAGUUCAAAUCCAGGUCAAGUCA